rnacentral:rRNA from 1 species
GACGAACCGUGCGAACGUUGUUCGGAAUCACUGGGCUUAAAGGGCGCGUAGGCGGCCUGCCAAGUCAGGGGUGAAAGCCCCCAGCUCAACUGGGGAAGUGCCUUUGAUACUGGCGGGCUCGAGGGAGGUAGGGGUCGUGGGAACUUCCGGUGGUGCGGUGAAAUGCGUUGAUAUCGGAAGGAACGCCGGUGGCGAAAGCGCACGACUGGACCUCUUCUGACGCUGAGGCGCGAAAGCCAGGGGAGCAAACGGG